UACGUAGGGAGCAAGCGUUGUUCGGCUUUACUGGGCGUACAGGGCGCGUAGGCGGCAAUUCAAGUCACUUGUGAAAUCUCCGGGCUUAACUCGGAACGGUCAAGUGAUACUGCUUUGCUAGAGUGCGGAAGGGGCAAUCGGAAUUCUCGGUGUAGCGGUGAAAUGCGUAGAUAUCGAGAGGAACACCUGAGGUGAAGACGGGUUGCUAGGCCGACACUGACGCUGACAGCGCGAAAGCCAGGGGAGCAAACGGG
rnacentral:rRNA from 1 species